rnacentral:rRNA from 1 species
CCUACGGGUGGCAGCAGUGAGGAAUAUUGGUCAAUGGCCGGAAGGCUGAACCAGCCAUGCCGCGUGAAGGUCAGUGCCCUAUGGGCGUUAAACUUCUUUUGUGCGGGAGCAAUAAUGGUCACGUGUGGCCAGACGAGAGUACCGUACGAAUAAGCAUCGGCUAACUCCGUGCCAGCAGCCGCGGUAAUACGGGGGAUGCAAGCGUUAUCCGGAUUUAUUGGGUUUAAAGGGUGGGUAGGCUGUGAGGUAAGUCAGCGGUGAAAUGCCCCCGCUCAACGGGGUGAAGUGCCAUUGAUACUGCCUGGCUGGAAUGCGGAUGCCGUGGGAGGAAUGUGGGGUGUAGCGGUGAAAUGCAUAGAUAUCACACAGAACACCGAUUGCGAAGACAUCUCACGAAUCCGCGAUUGACGCUGAGGCACGAAAGCGUGGGUAUCAAACAGGAUUAGAUACCCCAGUAGUC